GGAGAGGCUCAUCCGCUUCCUGGAUCACCGGGCAGGCAUUACCGCUUCCGGGGAGCGCCGGGCCGGGGAACCCGGAAAAGGGGAAUGCGGCCGGCAGGGAGGGAAGGGAGGGAGGAAAAAAGGGAGGGAAGCGCGGCCCGGGGGUCCCGGACUGAGGCCCCUCCAGCCGCGGGGACCCGGGCGGGGCUGUCCCUGAGGGAGGGCCCUGGGGGUCGAAACCCUGAGGGUCGGAGCCCCCCGGGAAGUGAUCGGUGAGAUCGGCGCGAACGGGGAAUCUCGGAGUGCUGAGGGCUGCAGAUCGCUCAGGCCAUCCCCCUGCCCAGGCAGGGCCACCCAGAGCAGUGACACAGAACACCCAGGUGGGUCUGGAAUGUCUCCAGACAGCGAGACUCCACGCCCUUUUGGGCAGCUGUUCCAGAGCUCUGCCACCCUCCAUGGAAAGAAGUUCCUCCUUGUGUUGAGGUGAAACUUCUCGUGUUUUGGUUGAUGUCCACUGCUCCUUGUCCUGUCGCUGGACCCCACUGAAGAGUCUGGCACCAUCCUCUGGGCACCCUCCUGGGAGAUAUUUAUAUGGAUGGGACUUCUGUGAGGCUUUGGUGAACCUGAUGGGCAGCUGCCCAGUGUGUCAUUCCCAUGGCUGUUCCCGGCUAGUUCAGUGGGAGUAAGUGCAUUAAGGAUCAUACUUUCCACUGACUUCAAAUAUAAGUGAAUACGGCCCUUGAAGUUUAAUGGUUUAUAAUGAAGGGUUUUUAAUGCAUGGAGAUAAUAACACCCCAUUACACUUCUGUUGGUAAUUAGUGGUAUUAGAUCCAUAAAAUUGACCCUUGCUUUACUUUAGACUGAGAUGCUAUUCCUUUCUUUUAAAUAAAAUUACUGUUCACUUUGGUCA